rnacentral:rRNA from 1 species
AGCGAACGCUGGCGGCAGGCUUAACACAUGCAAGUCGAGCGGGCAUCCCUGCUGCGUCAGCGGCUGACGGGUGAGUAACGCGUGGCAACUUGCCCUUCGGUUCGGAAUAACUCAGGGAAACUUGACCUAAUACUGGAGACGCCCGCGCGUAGCACGGUCUAUCCGCCGCAGGAUCGGCCCGCUCCUGAUUAGCUACUUGGUGAGGUUACGGCUCACCAAGGCGCCGAUUAGUAGCUGACAUGAGAGGAUGAUCAGCCACACUGGGACUGAGACCCGGCCCAGAAUCCUACGGGAGGCAGCAGUGGGGAAUAUUGGACUACGCGGCCAGCGCUGUGCCAGCCGGGCCGGGAGAGUGAUGACGGCCUUAGGAGUGGAAAGCUCCAUUCUCCGGGACGAUACUGACGGUACCGGAAAAAUAAGCCCCGGCUAACUUCGUG